rnacentral:misc_RNA from 1 species
AAGUCGUAACAAGGUUUCCGUAGGUGAACCUGCGGAAGGAUCAUUAACACGUAUCCAACGUUAAACCCCCCUGUGAACCUUUAGUGUGCUCCCUCAUUCUGUUGGAACGUGGCAAUCCCUGGUAAAUCAUCGCCGAACAGUUUUGAUUCAGGGACUUCUGCAAAGAGUGCUGGUUGUAGCGCGAGGCAAGUGGCCUGGCAUUCCUCUGUCACGAUCGCUAGAGGCCACCGGGUCACCAGGCUCACGCCCCCUAUCACCCCUUUGCAUGAAAACGGGCCUGCGCUUAAUUGUGCGGCCAUAAACCGAACAACUGUUAACAAUGGAUAUCUUGGUUCUC